GACGGAGGAUGCAAGCGUUAUCCGGAAUGAUUGGGCGUAAAGCGUCUGCAGGUGGCAGUUCAAGUCUGCUGUCAAAGACCGGGGCUUAACUUCGGAAAGGCAGUGGAAACUGAACAGCUAGAGUAUGGUAGGGGCAGAGGGAAUUCCUGGUGUAGCGGUGAAAUGCGCAGAUAUCAGGAGGAACACCAAUGGCGAAGGCAGCUCGCUGGGACGUUACUGACGCUGAGACGCGAAAGCGUGGGGAGCGAACAGG
rnacentral:rRNA from 1 species